GCCUGGGUGGCUCAGUUGGUUAAGCAUCUGACUCUUGCUUUCAGCUCAGGUUGUGAUCUCGGGGUCAUGGGAUGAAGCCCCAUUUCAGGCU
rnacentral:tRNA from 1 species